rnacentral:rRNA from 1 species
UACGUAGGGGGCAAGCGUUGUCCGGAAUCAUUGGGCGUAAAGCGCGUGUAGGCGGCUCGAUAAGUCUGCUGUGAAAGUCCAAGGCUCAACCUUGGGAUGCCGGUGGAUACUGGCGAUCUCGAGUCCGGGAGAGGUGAGUGGAACUGCGAGUGUAGAGGUGAAAUUCGUAGAUAUUCGCAAGAACACCAGUGGCGAAGGCGGCUCACUGGCCCGGUACUGACGCUGAGGUGCGAAAGCGUGGGGAGCAAACAGG